rnacentral:rRNA from 1 species
GACGAACGCUGGCGGCGUGCCUAAUACAUGCAAGUAGAACGCACAGUUUAUACCGUAGCUUGCUACACCAUAAACUGUGAGUUGCGAACGGGUGAGUAACGCGUAGGUAACCUGCCUGGUAGCGGGGGAUAACUAUUGGAAACGAUAGCUAAUACCGCAUAAUAUUGAUUAUUGCAUGAUAAUUGAUUGAAAGAUGCUAUUGCAUCACUACCAGAUGGACCUGCGUUGUAUUAGCUAGUAGGUGAGUUAACGGCUCACCUAGGCGACGAUACAUAGCCGAACUGGAAAGGUGAUCGGCCACACUGGGACUGAGACACGGCCCAGGCUCCUACGGGGAGCAGCAGUAGGGAAUCUUCGGCAAUGGACGAAAGUCUGACCGAGCAACGCCGCGUGGGUGAAGAAGGUUUUCGGAUCGUAAAGCUCUGUUGUAAGGGAAGAACGGGUGUGAGAGUGGAAAGUUCACACUGUGACGGUAUCUUACCAGAAAGGGACGGCUAACUACGUG